UACGUAGGGGGCUAGCGUUGUCCGGAUUUAUUGGGCGUAAAGAGCUCGUAGGCGGCUUGUUGCGUCAGCUGUGAAAACCCGCAGCUCAACUGUGGGCUUGCAGCUGAUACGGGCAGGCUUGAGUUCGGUAGGGGAGACUGGAAUUCCUGGUGUAGCGGUGAAAUGCGCAGAUAUCAGGAAGAACACCGAUGGCGAAGGCAGCUCUCUGGGACGGUACUGACGCUGAGACGCGAAAGCGUGGGGAGCGAACAGG
rnacentral:rRNA from 1 species